rnacentral:rRNA from 1 species
UACGAAGGGUGCUAGCGUUGUUCGGAAUUACUGGGCGUAAAGCGUAGGUAGGUGGUUUUCUAAGUCAGGGGUGAAAUGCCGAAGCUUAACUUCGGAACUGCCUUUGAAACUGGAAAGCUAGAGAAUAUUAGAGGCAAGUGGAAUUCCUAGUGUAGGAGUGAAAUCCGUAGAUAUUAGGAGGAACAUCAAUGGCGAAGGCAGCUUGCUGGGAUAUUACUGACACUGAGCUACGAAAGCGUGGGGAGCAAACAGG